GACAGAGGGUGCAAACGUUGUUCGGAAUUACUGGGCGUAAAGCGAGUGUAGGCGGUUUGGUAAGUCGGAUGUGAAAGCCCCGGGCUCAACCCGGGAAGUGCACUCGAUACUGCCAAGCUAGAGUAUCGGAGAGGUUGGUGGAAUUCUCGGUGUAGCAGUGAAAUGCGUAGAUAUCAAGAGGAACACCAGUGGCGAAGGCGGGUCUCUGGGCAUUCCCUGACGCUGAGGCGCGAAAGCGUGGGGAGCAAACGGG
rnacentral:rRNA from 1 species